rnacentral:lncRNA from 1 species
AUUUUUAGAACAGUGAUAACAUUCCUAAUGUUUUUUUUUCUUUUCCAUUCUCUCCAUUUCAAUCUUGCUUCAUAUAUAUCUCUCAAGUUCUUAACUCUAAUUUUAGUUAUUGAGAAAAAUAAGAAACUAAGAAAUAGGUUAUUCAAUCAAAGUGGUUGAAAAAUUACUUGGAGUUGACUAUGCCAUAAAAAAGAUUAAAUGAACGGGCAUCUUGGAGAAGAAUAUGUUGGAAAUGCUUGAUUUAAAAAUUUGAUUGAUGAUUUUGCCUAUAGGAGUACGAAGAAUUUUUUUUUAUGAAUGUAAGCUUAUACAAUUAUAUUAGUCGGACUAUUAUGAUUUAAGAUUAGAAAAGAGACAUAUAGAGGCAUACAAUUUGAUGGGGAAUUAUUUCUGAGCUCCCAAUUUUUCCUUUUUCACUUCAUUGAUUUUACUAACGUGCGUGUAAGUGAUGCAUAAUUUGUCUUUUUCUUUUGAACUUCUAAGAGAAUUCUCUCUUUUUUGCUCACAUCGUGUGUAACGACCCGUUUCAAAAAUUUCAUUUUAAUUAGUUAAAAUUAUGAAAAUACUCCUAAUGAUGGAAAUGUUGAUCUUUGUUGACUUUCGUCUGUUGAUCUCGUUGAUACGAACGCAUUGGCGUGAACCGAAUCAAAUUCGGAGCUAAAACGAAGAUGCUAUGAUUUUUGAAUGACAAGGGUAUUUUGGUAAUUUCACCAACGGAGAUAUUUCUCCACUUUGGGUCUCCACAUGG